rnacentral:rRNA from 1 species
GACGAACGCUGGCGGCGUGCUUAACACAUGCAAGUCGAACGGAAAGGCCCUGCUUUUGUGGGGUGCUCGAGUGGCGAACGGGUGAGUAACACGUGAGUAACCUGCCCUUGACUUUGGGAUACUUCAGGAAACUGGGGCUAAUACCGGAUAGGAGCUCCUGCUGCAUGGUGGGGGUUGGAAAGUUUCGGCGGUUGGGGAUGGACUCGCGGCUUAUCAGCUUGUUGGUGGGGUAGUGGCUUACCAAGGCUUUGACGGGUAGCCGGCCUGAGAGGGUGACCGGCCCCAUUGGGACUGAGAUACCGCCCCGACUCCUACGGGAGGCAGGAGUGGGGAAUAUUGCACAAUGGGCGGAAGCCUGAUGCAGCAACGCCGCGUGCGGGAUGACGGCCUUCGGGUUGUAAACCGCUUUCGCCUGUGACGAAGCGUGAGUGACGGUAAUGGGUAAAGAAGCACCGGCUAACUACGUG